UACGUAGGGGGCAAGCGUUGUCCGGAUUUAUUGGGCGUAAAGAGCGUGUAGGCGGCUAGAUAGGUCCGUUGUGAAAACUCGAGGCUCAACCUCGAGACGCCGGUGGAAACCAUCUAGCUAGAGUCCGGAAGAGGAGAGUGGAAUUCCUGGUGUAGCGGUGAAAUGACGCAGAUAUCAGGAAGAACACCCGUGGCGAAGGCGGCUCUCUAGUACGGUACUGACGCUGAGACGCGAAAGCGUGGGGAGCGAACAGG
rnacentral:rRNA from 1 species